GACGAACGCUGGCGGCGUGCUUAACACAUGCAAGUCGAACGGUAAGGCCUUUCGGGGUACACGAGUGGCGAACGGGUGAGUAACACGUGGGUGAUCUGCCCCCUACUCUGGGAUAAGCCUGGGAAACUGGGUCUAAGACUGGAUAUGACCUUUGCCUGCAUGGGCUUGGGUGGAAAGUUUUUCGGUAGGGGAUGAGCCCGCGGCCUAUCAGCUUGUUGGUGGGGUAACGGCCUACCAAGGCGACGACGGGUAGCCGGCCUGAGAGGGCGACCGGCCACACUGGGACUGAGACACGGCCCAGACUCCUACGGGAGGCAGCAGUGGGGAAUAUUGCACAAUGGGCGAAAGCCUGAUGCAGCGACGCCGCGUGGGGGAUGACGGCCUUCGGGUUGUAAACCCCUUUCAGUAGGGACGAAGCGCAAGUGACGGUACCUAUAGAAGAAGCACCGGCCAACUACGUGCCAGCCGCCGCGGUAAUAC
rnacentral:rRNA from 1 species